GUAGGGAAUAUUGGGCAAUGGGCGCAAGCCUGACCCAGCAACGCCGCGUGCACGAUGAAGGCCUUCGGGUUGUAAAGUGCUUUUCGGGGAGACGAGCAAGGACGGUAUCCCCGGAAGAAGGAUCGGCUAACUACGUGCCAGCAGCCGCGGUAAAACGUAGGAUCCGAGCGUUAUCCGAAUUCACUGGGCGUAAAGCGCGUGCAGGCGGCCUGCUAAGUUGGAUGUGAAAUCUCCUGGCUCAACUGGGAGAGGCUGUUCAAUACUGGCGGGCUCGAGGACGGUAGAGGGAGGUGGAAUUCCCGGUGUAGUGGUGAAAUGCGUAGAUAUCGGGAGGAACACCAGUGGCGAAAGCGGCCUCCUGGACCGUUCCUGACGCUCAGACGCGAAAGCUAGGGGAGCGAACGGGAUUAGAAACCCCGGUAGUCC
rnacentral:rRNA from 1 species